rnacentral:rRNA from 1 species
GAUGAACGCUAGCGGGAGGCUUAACACAUGCAAGUCGAAGGGCAGCACGUCUUCGGAUGGUGGCGACUGGCGAACGGGUGCGUAACGCGUAUGCGACCUACCCUCAACAGGGGAAUAGCCCAGAGAAAUUUGGAUUAAUACCCCAUAGUAUUACAGAUUCGCAUGUUUCUGUGAUUAAAGUUCCAACGGUUGAGGAUGGGCAUGCGUGACAUUAGCUUGUUGGUGAGGUAACGGCUCACCAAGGCAACGAUGUCUAGGGGUUCUGAGAGGAUGAUCCCCCACACUGGUACUGAGACACGGACCAGACUCCUACGGGAGGCAGCAGUGAGGAAUAUUGGACAAUGGAGGCAACUCUGAUCCAGCCAUCCCGCGUGCAGGAAGAAGGCCCUAUGGGUUGUAAACUGCUUUUAUACAGGAAUAAACCCCUCUACGUGUAGAGGGCUGAAGGUACUGUAAGAAUAAGCACCGGCUAACUCCGUGCCAGCAGCCGCGGU